rnacentral:rRNA from 2 species
CUUAGCGGCGGACGGGUGAGUAACACGUGGGCAACCUGCCCUUGAGACGGGGAUAACUCCGGGAAACCGGAGCUAAUACCGGAUAACACAUAUCUUCGCAUGAGGAUAUGUUAGAAGGUGGCUUUUAGCUACCACUCAAGGAUGGGCCCGCGGCGCAUUAGCUAGUUGGUGAGGUAACGGCUCACCAAGGCGACGAUGCGUAGCCGACCUGAGAGGGUGAUCGGCCACACUGGGACUGAGACACGGCCCAGACUCCUACGGGAGGCAGCAGUAGGGAAUCUUCCGCAAUGGACGAAAGUCUGACGGAGCAACGCCGCGUGAGUGAUGAAGGUUUUCGGAUCGUAAAGCUCUGUUGUUAGGGAAGAACAAGUAUCUGUUGAAUAAGCAGGUACCUUGACGGUACCUAACCAGAAAGCCACGGCUAACUACGUGCCAGCAGCCGCGGUAAUACGUAGGUGGCAAGCGUUGUCCGGAAUUAUUGGGCGUAAAGCGCGCGCAGGCGGUUCCUUAAGUCUGAUGUGAAAGCCCACGGCUCAACCGUGGAGGGUCAUUGGAAACUGGGGAACUUGAGUGCAGAAGAGGAGAGCGGAAUUCCACGUGUAGCGGUGAAAUGCGUAGAGAUGUGGAGGAACACCAGUGGCGAAGGCGGCUCUCUGGUCUGUAACUGACGCUGAGGCGCGAAAGCGUGGGGAGCGAACAGGAUUAGAUACCCUGGUAGUCCACGCCGUAAACGAUGAGUGCUAAGUGUUAGAGGGUUUCCGCCCUUUAGUGCUGCAGCAAACGCAUUAAGCACUCCGCCUGGGGAGUACGGUCGCAAGACUGAAACUCAAAGG